UGCAUAUAUUGGUCUCUGCCCCCUAUAUUGGUUCCUGAUAAUAGUUAGUUUUGACCUGAAGCCCUGGGGAUUUGUGGAGAUAGGCACACCUCGGGUCCUGAUGUGGUGACUUUUGGUGGGCUCCUGGGUGGGGCUGGUCAUGAGGAAGGCCAAGGCAUGACCUGAAGCUUAGAACUUUCAGCCUUACAUCCCAUUUUCCAGAGAGUGGAGAGGGGCUGGAAAUUGAGUUAAUAAUCAUGCCUCCAUGAUGAAGCCUCCAUUAAACUCCCUGAAGUAUGGAGUUGGGAGAGUUUCUGGGCUGGAGAGCACAUUCACAUGUCAAGGGGGUGGGACACCCCAAGUCCUCGGGACAGACACCCCUGAGCUCAGGACCCUGCAAACCUUGCCCUGGGUGUCUCUUCAUCUGGCUGGUAAUCUUUAUCCUUUAUUAUAUCCCUUACUAUGCAAUAAACUAGUAAACACAAGCGUUUCUCUAAGUUCUGUGAGAAACUUAGGGGGUCCUGGGAACACUGAUUUAUAGGUAAGUAGUCAGAAUUCCAGGAAACAGCUGGCACUGUGAUGGGCAUCUGGUGCAGGGAGACAGUCUCAUGGGACAUAACUUGCAGAGCCUGAUACCAGCUCCAGAAAGAUAGUGUCAGAACUGACUUGAAUGGUAGGACACCCAGCUGGUGUCAGAUAAUUGGCUGGCAUGGGAAGAACCUACACAUUUGGUAUUGGAAUUGUCGUUAGUAGAGAUGUAACAGAGUUUUUCCUUAUACAUAUGGCAUCCUCACAUCUGUGGAGGCUUACUCCACGCUUCCUAAGCCAUUUUAAGGAAAAUCAUAACGAAGCCCAACCCCACAAUCAAAUCUCAACAUCCACACAGUAUUGCAUCUAUUUCCUUAAGCGGAUGAGUCGUCCUGUUCACUUUGUGUUUUCAUAACUCCACCCCCACCAGAUCUCAUGAAGAGAAGCAACCAGCUGCAUGAAGCACAAGAGAAUUCUCGGGACACACGGGCGUGCUGGCCCCUGACUGCCCACCCUUCCCUUAUGUUACAGGAGGCAGUGCCUGGAAUUCUGGGACCGCACUGACGCCGGCCAGGAGCCCCAGCCACCACUGAGUCAGAGACGUGACUGAGUCACCCCGCUGAGCCCCAGGACUCUCAGCUGCAAAACAGAGACCAGAGACCCCAUCACAGCCUUGUCGGGCUGAGUGGGAGGACCACACUGGAAUGUCUGCUUUCCUGGGGCCUGCAGCCUGCCCUCUUCCAGACUGACCUGCCACCCAUCAGCUCUCCUGGGUCUCAGCGCUUUGGUCUCAGACUGGAGCUGCUCACCUGCUCUUCUGGGUCUCUGCCUGCUUCCUUCAGAUCUUGGGACUUUUCGGCUUCCCUAAUAAAUCUACUUAUUAUACAUACAU